UUAGUAGUCAUCGCUCGUCUCAAAGAUUAAGCCAUGCAUGUGUAAGUGUAAAUAUCAAAGUUUGGAACUGCGAAUGGCUCAUUAUAUCAGUUAUAGUUUAUUUGGUGAAGUGUACUACUUGGAUAACCGUAGUAAUUCUAGGGCUAAUACAUGAGAAAGUCCUCUGGUGAGGUGUGUUUAUUAGAAUGAAAACCAUAUGCUUCGGCAUGAUAGUGAGUAAUAGUAACCUAUCGUAUCGCAUGCUUAAUGUAGCGAUGAGUCUUUCAAGUUUCUGCCCUAUCAGCUUUCGAUGGUAGUAUAUGGGCCUACCAUGGCAGUAACGGGUAACGAAGAA
rnacentral:rRNA from 1 species